GUAGAGAUACCUUAGUGCCUUCGGGAACUGUGAGACAGGUGCUGCAUGGCUGUCGUCAGCUCGUGUUGUGAAAUGUUGGGUUAAGUCCCGCAACGAGCGCAACCCUUAUCCUUUGUUGCCAGCGGUUCGGCCGGGAACUCAAAGGAGACUGCCAGUGAUAAACUGGAGGAAGGUGGGGAUGACGUCAAGUCAUCAUGGCCCUUACGAGUAGGGCUACACACGUGCUACAAUGGCGCAUACAAAGAGAAGCGACCUCGCGAGAGCAAGCGGACCUCAUAAAGUGCGUCGUAGUCCGGAUCGGAGUCUGCAACUCGACUCCGUGAAGUCGGAAUCGCUAGUAAUCGUAGAUCAGAAUGCUACGGUGAAUACGUUCCCGGGCCUUGUACACACCGCCCGUCACACCAUGGGAGUGGGUUGCAAAAGAAGUAGGUAGCUUAACCUUCGGGAGGGCGCUUACCACUUUGUGAUUCAUGACUGGGGUGAAGUCGUAACAAGUAAACCGUAAAGAAUUA
rnacentral:rRNA from 1 species